GGUACCGUCAUUAUCUUCCCUAGCGAAAGAGUUUUACAACCCUAGGGCCUUCUUCACUCACGCGGCAUGGCUGCAUCAGGCUUGCGCCCAUUGUGCAAGAUUCCCC
rnacentral:rRNA from 1 species